rnacentral:ncRNA from 2 species
AAAUAAAAUAAGGGGAGCUUGUAUACAGGCUGAGAGGAUAGCGACCGAGUUAUCGACCCAUAACCUGAUUUGGAUAAUGCCAACGUAGGGAAUAUGAUACCGAUCAUUC